rnacentral:misc_RNA from 1 species
AGCAGCCGCGGUAAUUCCAGCUCCAAUAGCGUAUAUUAAAGUUGUUGCAGUUAAAAGCUCGUAGUUGAAUUUCGGGAUCAAAGGAUCGGUCAUGCCUUGGUAUGUACUGGUUUUAUUGGUUCUCACCUUCUAAAGAACCAUAAUGUCAUUCAUUUGAUGUUAUGGGGAAUUAGGACUGUUACCUUGAAAAAUUAGAGUGUUUAAAGCAGGCUUACGCUUGAAUACAUUAGCAUGGAAUAAUGAAAUAGGACAUCAGAUUCUAUUUUGUUGGUUUCUAGGAUCGAUGUAAUGAUUAAUAGGGAUAGUUGGGGGCAGUUAGUAUUCAAUUGUCAGAGGUGAAAUUCUUUGAUUUAUGAAGACUAACUACUGACGAAAGCAAUUUGCCAAGGAUGUUUCAUUAAUCAAGACGAAAGUUAGGGAUCGAAGACGAUCAGAUACCGUCGUAGUACUUAACCAUAAACUAUAGCCG